UACUCGAGCCCCAAGUGGUAUCCACAAUUAGUGGGUCUAAAGCGUCCGUAGCCGGUUUGGUAAGUUCUCAGUGAAAUCCUUUGGUAAACUGAAGGGCUUGCUGGGAAUACUACCAGACUUGGGACUGGGAGAGGGUAGAGGUACUCCCGGGGGAGGGGUAAAAUCCUAUAAUCCUGGGGGGACCACCUGUGGCGAAGGCUUCUACCUAGAACAGGUUCGACGGUGAGGGACGAAACCUAGGGGAG
rnacentral:rRNA from 1 species